UAGGGAAUCUUCCGCAAUGGGCGAAAGCCUGACGGAGCAACGCCGCGUGAGUGAUGAAGGUCUUCGGAUCGUAAAACUCUGUUCUUAGGGAAGAACAAAUGUGUAAGUAACUAUGCACGUCUUGACGGUAUCUAAUCAGAAAGCCACGGCUAACUACGUGCCAGCAGCCGCGGUAAUACGUAGGUGGCAAGCGUUAUCCGGAAUUAUUGGGCGUAAAGCGCGCGUAGGCGGUUGUUUAAGUCUGAUGUGAAAGCCCACGGCUCAACCGUGGAGGGUCAUUGGAAACUGGAAAACUUGAGUGCAGAAGAGGAAAGUGGAAUUCCAUGUGUAGCGGUGAAAUGCGCAGAGAUAUGGAGGAACACCAGUGGCGAAGGCGACUUUCUGGUCUGUAACUGACGCUGAUGUGCGAAAGCGUGGGGAUCAAACAGG
rnacentral:rRNA from 1 species